UACGUAGGUGACAAGCGUUGUCCGGAUUUACUGGGCGUAAAGGAUGCGUAGGCGGACAUUUAAGUCAGAUGUGAAAUACCCGAGCUUAACUUGGGUGCUGCAUUUGAAACUGGGUGGUCUAGAGUGCAGGAGAGGUAAGUGGAAUUCCUAGUGUAGCGGUGAAAUGCGUAGAGAUUAGGAAGAACACCAGUGGCGAAGGCGACUUACUGGACUGUAAACUGACGCUGGAGGCAUGAAAGCGUGGGGAGCAAACAGG
rnacentral:rRNA from 1 species